UACGUAGGGACCGAGCGUUGUUCGGAUUCAUUGGGCGUAAAGGGUGCGUAGGCGGUUUUCUAAGUUUGAUGUGAAAUCCCGGGGCUCAACCCUGGAAUUGCAUUGAAUACUGGGAGACUAGAGUACUGGAGAGGAAACUGGAAUUUACGGUGUAGCAGUGAAAUGCGUAGAGAUCGUAAGGAAGACCAGUGGCGAAGGCGAGUUUCUGGACAGUUACUGACGCUGAGGCACGAAGGCCAGGGGAGCAAACGGG
rnacentral:rRNA from 1 species